rnacentral:rRNA from 1 species
CUCGUAGGCGGUUUGGUAAGUCGGGUGUGAAAACUCUGGGCUCAACCCAGAGAGGCCACUCGAUACUGCUAUGACUAGAGUACGGUAGGGGAGCGGGGAAUUCCUGGUGUAGCGGUGAAAUGCGCAGAUAUCAGGAGGAACACCAGCGGCGAAGGCGCCGCUCUGGGCCGUAACUGACGCUGAGGAGCGAAAGCAUGGGUAGCAAACAGGAUUAGAUACCCUGGUAGUCC